rnacentral:rRNA from 1 species
GACAGAGGGUGCAAGCGUUAAUCGGAGUUAUUGGGCGUAAAGCGUACGUAGGUGGUUAAGCAAGUCAGAUGUGAAAUCCCUGGGCUCAACCUGGGAACUGCAUCCGAUACUACUUGACUAGAGUGUGGUAGAGGGAAGUGGAAUUUCCGGUGUAGCAGUGAAAUGCGUAGAUAUCGGAAGGAACACCAGUGGCGAAGGCGACUUCCUGGACCACAACUGACACUGAGGUACGAAAGCGUGGGGAGCAAACAGG